rnacentral:rRNA from 1 species
AGCAGCCGCGGUAAUUCCAGCUCCAAUAGCGUAUAUUAAAGUUGUUGCAGUUAAAAAGCUCGUAGUUGAACUUCGGGAUUUACCCAUUGGUCAGGCUUAAUUGUCUGCACUGGUGAGAUGAAUCUCUACCUUCUGAGGAACUUUCAUGCCAUUUAUUUGGUGUGAUGGGAAAUCAGGACUGUUACUUUGAAAAAUUAGAGUGUUUAAAGCAGGCUAACGUCUGAAUACAUUAGCAUGGAAUAAUGAAAUAGGACGGACUGAUUCUAUUUCGUUGGUUUCUAGGAUCACCGUAAUGAUUAAUAGGGAUAGUUGGGGGCAUUAGUAUUCAAUUGUCAGAGGUGAAAUUCUUGGAUUUAUUGAAGACUAACUACUGCGAAAGCAUUUGCCAAGGAUGUUUUCAUUAAUCAAGAACGAAAGUUAGGGGAUCGAAGACGAUCAGAUACCGUCGUAGUCUUAACCAUAAACUAUGCCGACUAGGGAUCGGAUGAUGUAAUUUUUAAUGA